rnacentral:rRNA from 1 species
UACGAGGGGGGCGAGCGUUGUCCGAAUUUAUUGGGCGUAAAGCGCGUGUAGGCGGACCAUCAAGCCUGGGGUGAAAGGUUGGGGCUCAACCCCAAGAGUGCCCUGGGGACUGUUGGUCUGGAGGCAGGCAGAGGAGAGUGGAAUUCCUGGUGUAGCGGUGGAAUGCGUAGAGAUCAGGAAGAACACCCAUGGCGAAGGCAGCUCUCUGGGCCUGUACUGACGCUGAGACGCGAAAGCGUGGGGAGCGAACGGG